AUGUUCCUUGGUUCUUUGGUUUGUACAAGCGACAUAACAGCUCUCAUCUGGUGAAAAUACUGUUAAAAUACCUCGCUGUUAAUUUAAGUGACAUUUAAAGAGAGAACAAAUGGUGAAAAUGUUGCUUACUCUGAGGCUAAAGCCAGGGAUCAAACUUAUUUAUUAGCUUUAUUUUAUUGAAACACCCCCCCCAAUAAAUUCUGGUUGUCAUUUGAUGUUCAGUUUUGGGUGGUGGGGGUGUAACGAUGCCUAUUAAUCAGCUAAACGAUCAACAACUGGGAUCUCAGGCAAAGAUUUCUGGCAUGUCAGAAAUUUUGGUUGGCUGUGUUACAAUUUGAGCAGUUGGCUGCUGUCCCAAGAUCAGUAAUAAACUGUAGUCAGCUUGUUUGGACAUUUUUGGAGUAAUAUUUUGCAUGUUGUGAUUAAAAGUUCUGACUGAGACUGUGCUGAGAGAUAAAACUGAACUUCGUUGCUGAGCAGAAACCAUAUUGUCAGCCAACUGCGGCAAGAGUUUUCUUUUUUCUUGUUACUUUCAGUUUAUGAUAGAAUUGCAAAGAAGUCAUGUUGCCUUUCUUUCCCUUUUCAACAUUAUUGAGGAGGAUUGUGUAAAUAAACUUUAUUGGAUUCUAUGAGAAGAACCGACUGGGAAUUUUGUGCUUGAGUUCUGUGUGAGUUUCACUCUGUGGCCACUCAAUUGAUCCGUACAGUGUGAUAUCAUACAUUAUUAAAUAUAAAUGCACAGUUGUAGCUCAGAUUUUAAGAUGACACGAUAAUUAAGUCUUUGCUAUGCCACACCCUGAAUACGCAGCUGUCUAAUCACAGCGCAGUAUAUAUUUGACAUUUUCAUGGCAGUGACCAGUAUGAGGGAGUGUGAGACAAUAACACCAAAUUUAACACACCUGCUCCCUAUUCACGCCUGAGACCUUAUAACACUAACGAGUCACAUGACACUGGGGAGGGAAAAUGGCUAAUUGGGCCAGUUUGGACAUUUUCACUGAAUUUUACACAAACUGCAAAUUAAUAAUUGUUCAUAUUGCAGCAGUAAAGAAGAAAUGUCGAGGAGGAACUUAUGAGAAAGCAAUCUGAUACACGCAGAACAGCAGAAGAAGGAUGAAUACCCAAGAAAUUUUGGCAUGAGUGAGGGAGAAUCUGAUGGGGGAGAGAUAACGGUGGCCAUGAGUCCGCAAGUUUGUUGAGUUAAACUUUGAUUUUAACUUUUGUUAAAGCCUAUUAAAUGUUCUUCUUCUAGAAUAGGCCUAAUAGAAUUAUAGAUGUGUUCAUUAUGUUGCUGUUUGUUGUAGCCCACAGUUUACUGAUUCAUUUUAAAAUGUAGGCAAUUAGACUAUAUUGUGAAAUUAUUAAACCCCAUAACUGCCA